AUUGAACGCUGGCGGCAUGCCUUACACAUGCAAGUCGAACGGCAGCACGGGGCAACCUGGUGGCGAGUGGCGAACGGGUGAGUAAUGCAUCGGAACGUACCUUUCAGUGGGGGAUAACGUAGCGAAAGUUACGCUAAUACCGCAUAUUCUGUGAGCAGGAAAGCUGGGGAUCGCAAGACCUUGCGCUGAUUGAGCGGCCGAUGUCAGAUUAGCUAGUUGGUGAGGUAAAGGCUCACCAAGGCGACGAUCUGUAGCGGGUCUGAGAGGAUGAUCCGCCAUACUGGAACUGAGACACGGGCCAGACUCCUACGGGAGGCAGCAGUGGGGAAUUUUGGACAAUGGGGGCAACCCUGAUCCAGCCAGGCCGCGUGAGUGAAGAAGGCCAUCGGGUUGUAAAGCUCUUUCGGCCGGGAAGAAAUCGCACGGGCUAAUACCCUGUGUGGAUGACGGUACCGGAAUAAGAAGCACCGGCUAACUACGUGCCAGCCGCCGCAGUAAAAC
rnacentral:rRNA from 1 species